rnacentral:rRNA from 1 species
CACCUGGGGAGUACGGCCGCAAGGUUAAAACUCAAAUGAAUUGACGGGGGCCCGCACAAGCGGUGGAGCAUGUGGUUUAAUUCGACGCAACGCGAAGAACCUUACCUGGCCUUGACAUCCAGAGAGCUUUCCAGAGAUGGAUUGGUGCCUUCGGGAACUCUGAGACAGGUGCUGCAUGGCCGUCGUCAGCUCGUGUCGUGAGAUGUUGGGUUAAGUCCCGUAACGAGCGCAACCCCUAUCCCUGGUUGCUAGCAGGUAAUGCUGAGAACUCCAGGGAGACUGCCGGUGACAAACCGGAGGAAGGUGGGGAUGACGUCAGGUCAUCAUGGCCCUUACGGCCAGGGCUACACACGUGCUACAAUGGCGCGUACAGAGGGCUGCCAACUCGCGAGAGUGAGCCAAUCCCUUAAAACGCGUCGUAGUCCGGAUCGGAGUCUGCAACUCGACUCCGUGAAGUCGGAAUCGCUAGUAAUCGCGAAUCAGAAUGUCGCGGUGAAUACGUUCCCGGGCCUUGUACACACCGCCCGUCACACCAUGGGAGUGGAUUGCACCAGAAGUAGUUAGUCUAACCUUCGGGAGGACGAUUACCACGGUGUGGUUCAUGACUGGGGUGAAGUCGUAACAAGGUAACCGUA